CCUACGGGUGGCUGCAGUGGGGAAUAUUGCACAAUGGGGGAAACCCUGAUGCAGCGACGCCGCGUGAGUGAAGAAGUAAUUCGUUACGUAAAGCUCUAUCAGCAGGGAAGAAACACUGACCUUACGGUCAGCAGACGGUACCUGAGUAAGAAGCCCCGGCUAACUACGUGCCAGCAGCCGCGGUAAUACGUAGGGGGCAAGCGUUAUCCGGAUUUACUGGGUGUAAAGGGAGCGCAGACGGCUGUGCAAGUCUGGAGUGAAAGGCGGGGGCCCAACCCCCGGACUGCACUGGAAACUGGAAAGCUGGAGUGCAGGAGAGGUAAGCGGAAUUCCUGGUGUAGCGGGGAAAUGCGUAGAUAUUAGGAGGAACACCAGUGGCGAAGGCGGCUUACUGGACUGCAACUGACGUUGAGGCUCGAAAGCGUGGGGAGCAAACAGGAUUAGAUACCCCUGUAGUC
rnacentral:rRNA from 1 species